rnacentral:rRNA from 1 species
UACGUAGGGGGCAAGCGUUGUCCGGAAUCAUUGGGCGUAAAGCGCGUGUAGGCGGCCUUGUAAGUCCGUUCUGAAAGCCCGGGGCUCAACUCCGGGAGGCGGAUGGAUACUGCAAGGCUCGAGUACGGAAGAGGCGAGUGGAAUUCCCGGUGUAGCGGUGAAAUGCGCAGAUAUCGGGAGGAACACCAGUGGCGAAGGCAGCUCGCUGGGACGUUACUGACGCUGAGACGCGAAAGCGUGGGGAGCAAACAGG